rnacentral:lncRNA from 1 species
CUGCAUCGGGUCGAUGCACACAGUUGUGAUACAUGCAUGCACACCUGUACCCGAUUAAAGAUAGCACUUACUGUACAAGUUGUUACCUAACUACAAAUUGAUACAUGUUUAUACUGGGCAUACCGUAAAAGUUAGCUGCAAAUCUAAGCUUAUUCCUGUAAAAAAGUCUAAGCUUAUUCAAUCGAGCUACAUAACCGAUAGAGAAGAGAUGAAAGUUUUGCUUAAAAGAAGAGCAAUUAUAGUUUUUCUUGGGGCAGAACCACAGUUAUAUACUCAACUGGUAAUUGGCAAUGUGAAUUACCAUCUAGUUAGAGGUGCUUGUUUACGUAGUAGUUGAUUCAUGAGAGAGAUACUAUCUUAUUUGAUUUACUAUCUCUGUUGGGUAUAUUAGCUCAUUUUCUUAUUAGUUAAAUCAAUAAUUAAAUCAUGACGACAAUGCUAAUAAUAUUAAUUUCAAUAUAAGCUCAUGAUUCAAACGCUUACUAAACCAUAGAGCAUGCAUAUCUAUGAUAACUAGAGAAAACCCCGUGCGUUGCUGCGGGAAUUGAUUGCAAUAUAUUUCGGUGAUUUGAUUGUAUGAAGCUUCCAUCAUUGAAUUAAUAAUAUAUGAACAAAAGCUAAAAAUAAAUAUUAUAUAUUUAUUUGAUUAUUGUGUAGUCAGAAGAUAUUUUGAAUAUACGUGGCAUAACGUAAAGAAAACUUCUUUUCAUGCAUAUUGAGUGGACCUUUGGUGUGGUGACAUAUGUGAUGGGGUAAAAGAUGUGCAUGAGAUCAACUAAUAAUGAAAACUUUUUCUCAUGCAUGUAGUGGUGGGCCUUUGAUGAGGUGGCAUGUGUGCAUGUUGAGAUAAAUAGGAUAGUGGGGAUCAACUUCUUAUGUAUAUAGGAUGACACGUACAAUCAAUGCAUGUGAUAGUAUUUAUUUUCCACUAUCACAGAUAUAUACUAGUAAGCAUAAGUAACGGAUGGAGGGUAUUUUGGUGGUAUACUAGAGACACGUAUUGAGAAAUUUUUCUUGAGUGAUUAUCCGUAUAUAGGCUCCUUUGGUUUGCGGGAUUCUAAAAACUCAAAAAUAGGGAAAACAAAGGAAUAGGCCAGAAAUGCAUGUGCAAAACAGAGGAAUGAUAAACACAUGAAUUAUAUCAAAUUGAGUGUUUGGUUCAUAGGAAUUGAAAAAACACAAGAAACCUAAUAAACAUGGUCAAAUUAAAAUCAACCCACAUGAAAAUGUAUAGUCAGAAUAUUAUCAUGCCACUAAGGUUUAUAGUCUUGUUCUUCAUGCAUAUGAAUUUGAAAAGGAGGUCAAAGUAGGUAGUAUGAUUCCUGUGUUAUUCCUUUGAAACUGGGUUCGAAGGAAAAUUUUCUUCAUUUUUUCUUUACCUCAUUCCUUUGAACCAAAGGCGUGAAUAGUAUCACCAUAGGAUUUGUUUUUCAUUCUUUCACUUUUACUUUGGACCAAAAGAGCCCUAAGAAGUUUAGGGCUUAUUUGGAUGGAAAAUAUUACUCUUUUUCACUUCAGACCGAUACACGUUAUUUUUCCUCGUGGAAAAAGAAGAUGAUUUAGAAGUGUUUUUGUUCAAAUUCUCCAACAAAACCAGUAAGCUGAUCCACGUCCGUAAUAUUCGCAUGCAGGAACGACCGGGCUUCUUAUCUGGGCCGUCACCCUCGCCGGCCUCCUCGGCGGCGGCGUCCUCCUCGUCUACAACACCAGCGCUCUCGCCGGCUAAGAGAGCAUCUACGUGUAACACAGGGCCGGGUCUCUGCUUGCAUGCACGUCUCUGUAAUCUACAUAGCUACCUCCUGUGAAUGUAUGCAAUCAACGAUGCAAAGUAAUUGAUCCGAACAGAUGGUUUAUGUGUAUGUACGUAACGCUGUAACGAUAUACUUCCUACUUUGGAAACUGUAAAAGGGUGGAUUCUUGGAGCCCGUAUGCACGCACCCUCUACCAUGCAUAGGCGCAUCUGUUCCUAGGUAUUUGGGACGCGCCUGACUCGUGUCACAGAGUGCCCAGAAGAUUAAUAUAGUGGCCGCCGGCGGUCGC